rnacentral:rRNA from 2 species
UCUGGCGGUAAUGGCGGAGGGGUCCCACGCGUACCCAUCUCGAACACGACCGUUAAGCCCUCCAGCGCCAAUGGUACUUGGACCGCAGGGUCCUGGGAGAGUAGGACGUCGCCAGGC